UUCUGUAAGCCUGCGAAGGUGGCCUGUGAGGGUUGCUGGAGGUAUCAGAAGUGCGAAUGCUGACAUAAGUAACGAUAAAGCGGGUGAAAAGCCCGCUCGCCGGAAGACCAAGGGUUCCUGUCCAACGUUAAUCGGGGCAGGGUGAGUCGACCCCUAAGGCGAGGCCGAAAGGCGUAGUCGAUGGGAAACGGGUUAAUAUUCCCGUACUUGGUGUUACUGCGAAGGGGGGACGGAGAAGGCUAUGUUGGCCGGGCGACGGUUGUCCCGGUUUAAGCGUGUAGGUGUGUGUUCCAGGUAAAUCCGGUUCACUUUAACACUGAGGCGUGAUGACGAGGCACUACGGUGCUGAAGCAACAAAUGCCCUGCUUCCAGGAAAAGCCUCUAAGCAUCAGGUAACACGAAAUCGUACCCCAAACCGACACAGGUGGUCAGGUAGAGAAUACCAAGGCGCUUGAGAGAACUCGGGUGAAGGAACUAGGCAAAAUGGUGCCGUAACUUCGGGAGAAGGCACGCUGACA
rnacentral:rRNA from 2 species